rnacentral:sRNA from 1 species
GCGGAGACAAAGUUUCCGUUCACUCCUCACACCAUAAACCGCUCUUAUUUUUAGGGGCGGAUU